AGGCAUCAUUGUGGGAAGUUUAAAACAGAGAUGUAAGUUUCCUUGCUAAUUAUACAUACCAGUUGCACCUGCCUAACGAAGAGUGAUUAGAAACUGAAGAAAUGUCACUAACGUUAUGAUACGAGUUUGGAAAAACACAUCGGAUUUGAAUUAGUAUAUUGGCUCCUAAAUUGCCAAUUCUGCAAACACUGGGAGAAAAUUGGAAAGCAAACUUUGGCUGUUACCGUCUACAUACCAACUCCGCCUUUCUGACAAUAAAUCACCUGACCCUGGAGAAAUAAAACGGUAACUGUGGUCUCCUGCCUGUUCGUGUGCUGACUUUCUUCUCCUGCUGGGGUGAGGGUCCCGCAGGCGGGCGCAGAGCAGGGGAAGGGCCGCGGCUGGAGGAGCGAGGAGGCAGGAGGGCCGAGGGCAGAAGAGGUUUCCAAGGGAAAACUCCGGACGGGAGCCCUGAGGAGAGGAAGCCUGACUGGAGACCAUCCACUCCAGCAGUGACUCUUCCUCGGAAGCCAGCCCUGCAAGUUGUUUCCGGAUCGGAUCACUCACCACAGGACUGGGAAGCUCCCUCCUCAUACAUUGCGUCCUGUUCUUUCCAUCCACCUGCUUGUUCAAUCAAGGGUCAUGGGAUCGGACUUCCCUGGUGGUCCAGUGGUUAAGAAUCCACCUGCAGGUGCAGGGGACACAAGUUUGAUCCCUGGUCUGGGAAGAUCCCGCUUGUCAUGGGGCAACUAAGCCAUGCAGCAACUGCUAAAAACCACACACCCUGGAGCCUGUGCUCUGAAACAAGAGAAGUCAUUGCAACGAGAAGCCUGCACACUGCAACUAGAGAGUAGCCCUCUCUCGCUGUAACUAGAGAAAGCCUGUGCGCGGUAAUGAAGACCCAGUGCAGCCAAAAGUGGAUUCUUUACCAUCUGAGUCACCAGGGAAGCACAGGAAUGAAGUGAGAAGUUCUCAGAUGUUUGCCGGGACACGGCUGGAGUCUCCAAGGAAAACCGCCCACCCACUGGUUCAGCGGCAGCAGUUGGGUGGACAGUGCAUGGGUGUCUGUCCAUCAUCUAACUGCUCCCCCUUCAGGAACACCAGCCUCUCCUCACGUCCACCUGCUGAAUCUCACCUGUGCACCUACAUUGUCCGAUCUACUUGAAGGGACUCUGUGAUCUCUUUUCCUGCACUGCAGGGAGUGGGAAGGGGUGUCAAGCGCAGGAAUGGUCCUGAGAGACGGGGUGGCAGGACCUCCCCGUCCCAGCACCCCGGGUCCUGACCUGGGGUUGACGGUGAGCCUGGGACCCCACCUGCCCCCUCAGGCCCCAGGAGAACCUGUGCUGCAGUGAUGGACGCAUCUCCCCUGACCCUUCCCAGCACAAGGCCUCCUGAGGGUCCAUUCUGGAAGGUUCCUCAGCAGCCCAGCCAAGGGCAUGUGCACAGAUCCUGAGUGACGGGGCCGCAGGUUCACAGCCAUUUCCCCCAGUGCCCACGCUGAUGGCCUAGGUGUCUGGGCACCUGUGUUCAGCCCACACUGCCCACUGUACCUGGAGCCGUCCCCCUCAGAGUGACUUGGGUCCUGGGGUGGGUUCCAGGUCACCAGUCCAUCCUGCCACCUCCUCCACGUGAGGUUCUUCCUGCGGGACCCUGAUGUCUAUCCCAGGAGCUUCGCCCAGAGCAAAUCUAGAGAGUGUUUGAGGGCUGGUGGUUGUGGCAAUGAACACACGGGCAUUUGUCUCAGGUGAUGGCAAAA